UGCAUGUUCACAUAGAAAACAAAUAUUUAGUGGUAACACAAUGUACACAAUAGAAGAAACUAAAAAUUAUUAUAAAUUUUAAUGAAAAUUCAACCAGUCUAAAGACCUUAAACCAUCUAAUACUUAUUAUAACUAGUAUAAUAAUUUAAAAUACAUUCAAUUAAGAAAAUAAACAAACAAAUUAUGGAUUUACUAAACGAGAUUAUUUGUAUGUACUUUCACAAAAAUUAUGAGAGAGAAAGAUGAAGACGAUACUAGUAAGGUUGUGGAUAACUUCAUAAAGUGUUGCUAUUUACACACAAAAGUAAAAACUUGGAAAAUUCAAAAUACUGGUCUUGUGAACAUUACAUCAAUGGCACAUUUAAAAGUGUUAAGGAAGAUCUUGGCACCCCAAAAUAGAUCUUCUUAUAGUUAUUCUGAUGAAUAAGUAAUAAUAUUAUUUCGGAAAUAGGACACGGAAGUACUCGAAAUACAGUCAGGUACAAAUCCGCUAAACCGCUGGUUAUUAGAUAUUAAUAUAACUGUCAAAAGGUUAGUUACAGCAUACUGAUGUGAUGCCAAAUCAGACAGGAAGAGCUUAAACUCGCAAAAUUAUUAUAGGUACAGUAGUCAUCUCACC